rnacentral:rRNA from 1 species
UACGGAGGGUGCGAACGUUAAUCGGAAUUACUGGGCGUAAAGCGUGCGCAGGCGGUUUGCUAAGACCGAUGUGAAAUCCCCGGGCUCAACCUGGGAACUGCAUUGGUGACUGGCAGGCUAGAGUAUGGCAGAGGGGGGUAGAAUUCCACGUGUAGCAGUGAAAUGCGUAGAGAUGUGGAGGAAUACCGAUGGCGAAGGCAGCCCCCUGGGCCAAUACUGACGCUCAUGCACGAAAGCGUGGGGAGCAAACAGG